AGUGAACGCUGGCGGUAGGCCUAACACAUGCAAGUCGAACGGCAGCACAGUAAGAGCUUGCUCUUACGGGUGGCGAGUGGCGGACGGGUGAGGAAUACAUCGGAAUCUACUUUUUCGUAGGGGAUAACGUAGGGAAACUUACGCUAAUACCGCAUACGACCUACGGGUGAAAGCAGGGGAUCUUCGGACCUUGCGCGAUUGAAUGAGCCGAUGUCGGAUUAGCUAGUUGGCGGGGUAAAGGCCCACCAAGGCGACGAUCCGUAGCUGGUCUGAGAGGAUGAUCAGCCACACUGGAACUGAGACACGGUCCAGACUCCUACGGGAGGCAGCAGUGGGGAAUAUUGGACAAUGGGCGCAAGCCUGAUCCAGCCAUACCGCGUGGGUGAAGAAGGCCUUCGGGUUGUAAAGCCCUUUUGUUGGGAAAGAAAAGCAGCAGGUUAAUACGCCGCUGUUCUGACGGUACCCAAAGAAUAAGCACCGGCUAACUUCGUG
rnacentral:rRNA from 1 species